rnacentral:rRNA from 1 species
AAAUUGAAGAGUUUGAUCAUGGCUCAGAUUGAACGCUGGCGGCAGGCCUAACACAUGCAAGUCGAACGGUAACAGGGAUCAGCUUGCUGAUU